rnacentral:rRNA from 1 species
GGAAACGACUGCUAAAACCCGAUGUGCCUAAGGGUGAAAGUAUUUAUAGCCUGGAGAUGAGCUCGCGUCUGAUUAGCUAGUUGGUAGAGUAAGAGCCUACCAAGGCGACGAUCAGUAGCUGGUCUGAGAGGAUGAGCAGCCACACUGGGACUGAGACACGGCCCAGACUCCUACGGGAGGCAGCAGUGGGGAAUUUUCCGCAAUGGGCGCAAGCCUGACGGAGCAAUACCGCGUGAGGGAGGAAGGCCUUUGGGUUGUAAACCUCUUUUCAUAGGGAAGAAAAAAAUGACGGUACCUAUUGAAUCAGCAUCGGCUAACUCCGUGCCAGCAGCCGCGGUAAUACGGAGGAUGCAAGCGUUAUCCGGAAUUAUUGGGCGUAAAGAGUCCGUAGGCGGUACCUCAAGUCUGCCGUUAAAGGCUGGAGCUUAACUCCAUUAAGGCGGUGGAAACUGUGGGACUAGAGUCUAGGAGGGGUAGAGGGAAUUCCCAGUGUAGCGGUGAAAUGCGUAGAGAUUGGGAAGAACACCGGUGGCGAAAGCGCUCUACUGGACUAGAACUGACGCUGAGGGACGAAAGCUAGGGGAGCGAAAGGGAUUAGAUACCC